rnacentral:rRNA from 1 species
GCUCUCGCAUCGAUAAGAACGUAGCGAAAUGCGAUACUUGGUGUGAAUUGCAGAAUCCCGUGAACCAUCGAGUCUUUGAACGCAAGUUGCGCCCGAAGCCGUUAGGCCGAGGCACGUCUGCCUGGGCGUCA